rnacentral:rRNA from 1 species
UACGUAGGUGACAAGCGUUGUCCGGAUUUACUGGGCGUAAAGAGCGCGCAGGCGGUCGUUCAAGUCGAGUGUGAAAGCCCCCGGCUCAACUGGGGAGGGUCAUUCGAUACUGAUCGACUCGAAGGCAGGAGAGGGUAGUGGAAUUCCCGGUGUAGUGGUGAAAUGCGUAGAUAUCGGGAGGAACACCAGUGGCGAAGGCGACUACCUGGCCUGUUCUUGACGCUGAGGCGCGAAAGCUAGGGGAGCAAACGGGAUGAGAAACCCCCGUAGUCC